CUUUACUGUAGCCUGGUAUUGGGUUCGGGCUUUGACUGCGCAGGAUAGGUGGGAGACUGAGAAGUGUGCCUUGUGGGGCACAUAGAGUCAACGGUGAGAUACCACUCUGUCAGAGCUAGAAUUCUAACCUUCACCCGUGAUCCGGGGAAGGAACCGUAUCAGGUGGGCAGUUUGACUGGGGCGGUCGCCUCCUAAAAGGUAACGGAGGCGCGCAAAGGUGUUCUCAGGCUGGUUGGAAAUCAGCCGUAGAGUGUAAAGGCAGAAGGACGCUUGACUGUGAGAGUGACAACUCGAGCAGGGUGGAAACACGGCCUUAGUGAUCCGACGGCGCUGCGUGGAAGGGCCGUCGCUAAACGGAUAAAAGUUA
rnacentral:rRNA from 1 species